GAAAGCCGUGUGCAAUGAAAAAUGCAAGCACGGUUUGGGGAGGGAUUUUUAUUCUUUAACCUAUUUUUUUUAACAAGGAAAUUAUCUACUCCAU
rnacentral:ncRNA from 1 species